AUAACUAUUAAUAAGCUAAAAAGGGGUUUUUAUCUAAUUUUCCAAGUUUAGAUGAACUUAAUCCUUUAACAAAAACUCAAUCAAGAAACAAAACACUUAUGUUAGUUCGAAUCCGCUUUCACUCAAUGGUUAUACAGUGGCUAUGACUAUUACUGUUGGUGACCAAUUAAGGAAGUAUUAGCAAUUUAGUUCUAAAUCUACUAAUUAUUAAUCAAUUCAUGUAAAUCUAUUUAUGGUCAUACAAUAGUUAACACAAAAUCAAUUAUUAAAUAAGAUUGGAGCCAUGAAAGAUUGAUUACUCAAAACACAAUUACAGUCAUAAUAUGAGUUCUCUAACACAACUUGAUUUAAUGAUUCAAUUACUAAUAUAAGAUUGGUUUGAUCUUAGCUCCAAUAAACUAGUGUUCACUAUAUUACUAGGUAUUCAAGUUCAUCCAGAUUUGUGUUCACUAACUACACAGAACAAGAAUUCAAAGCAAUCAAAAAAUUAAUUCAAGCAUGCUAGGUAAAAUUAAUCAACACAAGCAUAUCACCAACAAUUAAAGUUAAGUCUAAUGCAUUAAAACCAUGAGUUCCAGCUUCAUCUAGCUAACAGGAGCAACUAGAUUUAGCUAGACAUAUUAACAGCUAAACAAACGAAUACUAUAAUCAAUAACAUGUUUAAAUGUACCAAUCUAUUAAGACAAAUUAUGAACUUCUCCUUCCUUGGUGUUAUAACCAAUUUCCAGAGCCUCUUUUCCUCUGAAUUUUGUCUCCAGGAAUCCUCCUCAGCCAGCCAAAGUCCCUCCCAAUCACAAUGGAGAAGGAUAUAUAUAUUUUCUGGAGAAUCACCGUUCACAUUGUGAGAAUUUAAAACUAACGUCGUGGACUCAAGGUAAUCGUGAUCGUCAAGGAUUCCUUCACCCGGAUGCUUAUCUUCUAACUUUUUCUACUCACGUCGUGAACCAUCAACUCUUCACGUCGUGAGUACGUCUUUUUUGGGUGUUUUUCUUGUCUUUGAAGCCUUCAACCUCCAAAGUUCCAUCCUUUAACGCUUUUAGUCCCUUUAUUGAAAAUGUUAUUUUGCUGCAAAAUAUAAUUUAACCUUAUAAGUAUCAUUAUUCUAUGCACAUGACCAAAAUAAAUAUAAAAAUGUACUUAAAUAUUGCCUAAAAAUAUGUAUAAAUAUGACAAUAUCAAAAUACCCCACACUUAGGCUUUGCUUGCCCUCAAGCAAAUCUACUUAUUUAAAAUCAAAGCUUUAUCACUAGCAUUUCAUAGAACAAUCCAAAUCCAGCUUAGCCAUUAUGCCAAGACCUCAACGCAUGCAUUUGUGUCAAAAAAAAAUUUCCUAAAGUACCCCCCAUCCUUUAAAUAGUCACAAUCUUCAUAUACAAUUACCCACUUCUUUCGAACAAUGCUCAUUUUAUGCAACCCUACGAAUCCAUCCUCAGAAAGCUUUUUAACCUCAAGAUAUUUUUGGUUAAGCUGCCUAAGCAUACAUAAUCUAGAAAUUACAACUUUAGAUACCACAAUGGAGCUCUGGGAAUUCUUCACUUCUUUGAUAUUUGAUCUUUGAUUGCUUUGAAUUCACCAUAUUUAUGAUUUUUGGUAUCUUCAACUUUUGAUUCUUUGGAAUUUUGAUCUUUGAUCUUCAUACUUUUUUAGUAAUUUCUCUCUUUUUUUCCUUUUUUACAUGUAUGACUCACUUUUUAUAUAUAUAUCACUGAAAAAUCUACAUGUUUAAGCAGGUGCACUUAACUUCAACCUUUAUUGGUUAAGACAUAUCUUUCCUGGAUACAUUCCAGGUUCAGGCUGCUAAGCAUUUUGCAUUCCUCAAUUUAAGCAGGGUCAUGUUUUUGUUCCAUGAUUUCACUAAAAGAAGGGAGGCCACAAAUGCACUAUAACGUGUAUUGGCUCAACUAAAUAUUUGAGCUCUUAUCGGAUCAUCCCAUAUAAUACUAAAAACUACACCUCAAAUUAUUAUUACUAGAUUUAAUUAUUAAAAAUUUCAAAAUUUUCCAUUAUCUAGCAAUUUACUUUUUCUACCCCUUACCCCACACUUAUUUCAUACUCCCCUGGGAUAGUGGCAUGAUCAUCUCCCAAAAGCGCGUAUAAAACGUGCAUCUUUAAUAUAUACUUUGAGAAAUAGAAACGUGGAUCUUGAAUACGCGAGAUAAGUAAUGUACUGGCAAAAUAUGGAAUCGAGUCUUCAAUCGUCAACAAAUGUGGUGCAGAAAAAUGUGAAAAAUGAACAGAAAAAUGUGGGAAAGCAUACGCCACAUUACAUGGUAGAGAAAAUGAGCCAUGGUUAUCUUCAUAAAAAUCCCAAAAAGAAUGGUGGUGAACCACAUAAUGAAUAUGGAAAAAUAAGACUCCCUUUGGGAAAAAAUACAAAUUCACGACGUGAAUCUUUAAAUAUUCACGACGUGAAUUCGAUUGGAAGCGGGUUCUGUAAAGUCACCAGAUACUGACUCACGAGGUGAAUAACAAAAGGGUCACGACGUGAAAACUGGAAUCACAUAAAUGUAUUUCUUCCAACCUUUCUUUCAAUUCUUAUAUUCAACCCCCAUAUCUUAAUGGAUUAAGACUCUUCUAACCCUAUUAAUUUUGACUCUUCUCUCUAACUUUCUUCUCACUUGACUCACCCCACACUUAAUUUAAAUUAUGGGUCUUGACUCUUGACUUUAAACACUCCCGGCUAAACACAUAUGCACACAUAUCUCGACAUCCUUUGUAUGCACUCCUAGCAAUUCUGAAAAAUAACUACCAAGAAGAGAAAAAGUAACAUAAUAUCUUAAUAGUUUUACAAUCCCAAACGAAUAAAAAUAAAAAGAAAAUAAAACUAAACUAAACAAAACUAAAAUAAUAAAAGAAAUGAUCAAUCAUCCUCGUCAUCCUCGUUCACCCCGCAAGUGCCCGCUCCGUCGCCUCCAUGUCCUCGAUACUCCGUCCACCUCAGGCAAAUUGGGUAAUGAUACCCCAAAUGAGGCGGCUGCUCCACCCCAAGGUGUCGAACGACGUUCUCCAUGGUGCCACCAAUCCAAUUGACACUCAAAGAUAACUGGUCAAAAUAACCAGCCAUAUCACCCCCAAAAAGUGCUCCUACCAUGGAUGCGGGUGGAUGCAUUGGUUGCCCUCUUUCUCCCCUUCCUCUUACGUUCCUGCACCUCGGCCUUGGUUGUGGUUCAGGUUGGUCGGCCGGCUACUCAUCACCAUUAUCAUUAUCCUCAAGAAUUCCCCAAUAUGUCCCAUAAUUCUUGACCACCUUCAUUGUCUCCAAAUACCCCAUACUAAACUCGUUCCCCUCCAUGCAUGUCAAAAACCGAGUGAUACCAGAAACAAUGAGGCCAUAAGAUCGGGCCAAGCGCGUAACAAAGUCCCCUCCACAAAUGGGGCUCCCGGAACGAGCACUCCUAGCAUACUCCACCAAGUAUCGGGCCAAGAAAUAUGGAAUGUUACAACACACUUCGGGCUGUAAAAUGCACCACAAAAGGAACAAGUUGGCCUUAGUAAGCUUAUCACGAUGGCGUUUGUGGUGAAUAGAAAAGGUAAUAAGGCGAUGGAUAAGGCGAUGUAUCGGUGAUUUGAUGCUACUUUCGGGGCAUACACCGGAAUUGAACACACCGGCUGCGAUAUUGCUCCAAAACUACGGUCCUGAAACACCAUUCGCAUAACCACAUGUGGCAUCCCUCAAAAAUAAAACAAACUCAUGAGUUAUGGUCUCAUGAGCCUCGUACAACCCCAUUCUUCGAGAAAACUCCACCAAACUGCACUCCCGAUAUUCCCCUCCUAGACGGAAAACCAAAGCUUGGGGGAAAGUAGGAUCUUGGACAUUCUCAUGGAAUGUCACCGGUGAAAAGAACUCCACGCAUAGCUCCUUAUAGACCCGAUGUUGGAUGGAAAACAAAUUGUACCACCCCUUGCACGUGAAGGAAAAUCCAUCGCCCAAAAAUAUCUUAGUAUGAUAUUGGGACAUCCGAUCCACCAGCCCAACCUCCCUCAACCGUGCCCACUGAAUAGUGGGGGCAAUAGCAAACUCCCGGUUAUAAAGUCAUCCCAACUGAUUAUUCCAUCGCGUAUAUAUAUCCCGGGGUGUAGUUGUUGGCAAGUUGUAAAAUGGAUGUAAACCCGCUACUUCAGUUGGAAUCUCUCUUCUGGGGGCCAUUUCUGCAAUAAACAGCAACAAACGUAUCCAAAAGAAACAAUCCAACAAAUUAGAAAUUAAUAGAACUGAAAAUGUCCAGUCCCAGUAUUCACGUCGUGAAUGCUUUAAGAUUCACGUCAUGAGUUCGCAACAUCAGCAAGCAGAAUCGCUAAAAUCAGGGGCAAAUCUGGUCACAAUAUUAAUGGGGUUUACUCCUAUACCAUUUCCAAACACAAAGCAUCAACAUUCCAAGGCUAUUACAGGAAUUUUAAGAAAUAAAUUUGACAUUUCAUCUAACUAACAAACCCUGACCCUAAGUUCAACUAUUAGACAAAAAUUAAACUUAAUAAUUAAGAAUCAUUACCUUAGAUUGUAGUAUGAGGUAAGCAAAAAUGAAAAUUGAGUGUUGUCGGCCAAAAUAGGAGCAAGGGGGGACCAGAUCUCGUGUUCCACUUCGUGAUGAAUAAAGAAAUGAGGGUCAAACUGAUUCUUAUCCCUUUAAUCUAUGGUCCUGUGUUUUUCAAAACUCAUGUCGUGAGUUCUUAAGGAUUCACGUCAUGAGUCUUAUAUGGGCUUAAUGUCGGGCCAUGCAUUCCUUAUUAAUAAUGGAUUAGUCUUGGGCCAAUUAGUUUAAUAGAACAUUGGCUAAUACGCAUCAUUGGUAUAUUAUCCGGUUUAUUCAGAAUUCACGUCGUGAGUUCUUAACUUUUCACGUCGUGAACCCUCCACGAAAUUCUUUUUUUGUUUUUAUUAAGUCAAGUUUGUCUAUUAACUAAAUUCUUAAUUAUUACCACUUCAUUUUUAGGGACCCCACACUCAGUGUUUAAUUAUGAAUAAAGCGAGUUGGAUGAUAUGAUCUAUCUUUUAAAGAUUAAAAUGCAAAAACUAAAAAGAAAAGAAAGAAAGAAAAAAAAUUGCAAACCAAACUCAGGUUGCCUCCCGAGAAGCGCUUCUUUUUCUUGGAGUCAUGAGCUGGACUCCGUGCCUCAUAUGUUAAGUCAUCCGAAGAAUCCACCACUAGGAUCGUUUGUUCCUUGAAACGCCUCUUGUAAGCUUGAACUCGUCUUUUGUACGCCUUUUUCGAAUUUUCCUUUUUAGCUUUUACCUCGUCUUCAUCAAGCUUGCGUUUGGUCCCUUUAGUUUCUUCCUUGCACUCCAUAGCAUUCUUCUCUUCUUUCACCACUGGAGUUGUUACUUUUGAAGUAACCUCCCCUUCAUCACUCGUUAUCUCGUCAUCUUCCUUGCUCACCCAAGAAAUUGGACUCAUGUAGGAAAUGACUUCAACUAAAUAUGGAACAGAUGCUCUUGGUUUUGUUCUUUUAACUUGAUGAAUUGUCUUGAUCUCUUCUUGCAUCUCUAAUUCUUCAAGUUCAUUGUCUUCAUCAAUCUUGAACACCUCUUCUUGAGAAUGAUUCCCUUGAAAGCCAUCUUCUACCUCAAAAAUUUCCUUUUCAUUACCAACCCUGAAGGUGAGCUUAGAAUCCCGAAUAUAAACAAGAGCUCCAGCAGUGUUUAGCAGCAGGAGACCAAGAAUAAUUGGAACAUUGGGAUCUUCUUUCAUGUCCAAUACCACAAAGUCUAUUGGAAAAACGAAGUUCCCAAUUUUUACUAAAAUAUCUUCCUCAAUGCCCCAGGGUUGUGUCACCUAACAGUUCGCCAUGUGAGUAGUCAUCCUUAUAGCCUUCAACUUCUGAAUAUCCAACUUCUGAUAAAAUGAAUAAGGCAUCAAAUUUAUGCUAGCCCCAAAAUCGGCUAAACCAUAAACCUUCAUGUUGUUUCCAAACUCACAUGGAAGAGUGAGGCGUCCAGGAUCCCCCAUCUUCUUAGGUAUGUCUUCCAAUACAGCCCUUGAACUUUGCUCACUUAGAAUAACUUUAGAAUUCUUCUUUAGUUGCUGACGAGUGUCUAUCAAGUCUUGUAAAAAAAUUUCAUAUUCGGGAAUUUUUUAUAACGACUCGACAAAGCGAGUAUUAAUCGGGAUACCCUUCACAUGCUUAAUAAACUCUAUAUGCUCUCUUUCCAGUGGACUAAGGGCAGCUCGGGAAGGAAACGGCAAAGGUGGUUGAUAUGCUGAAACAAAGAUGGACUUUUUUUGUUCAGACAGAGCCCACGACGUGAAUAUAGCGGGCUCACGUCGUGAAUUGGGUGUUCCAGCAUCUUCUUCAUUUUUGAGCUUUGGCUUCUUUGGCUUUGGAUCGGGUUGUUGUGGCUCCACUUCUAAUGCUUCUAGGAACUCAGAGAUGGCCUCUUCUUCAGUAUCUAUGGCCAUUACGUGAGAUUGGGUCUUCUUUUCAGGAUUUUUUGGGGACAGCUUCUCAUGAACCAAAGUGGUUAGUUGACCAAGUUGCACUUCAAGAUUAUUGAUGGAGGCUUGUUGAUUUUUUAUUAGAGCCUGCUGUUCUACCAUCAUUGCGUGAUGAUUUUUUAUCAAAGUUCUUUGUUCAUCUAUAGUAGAAUCAAUAGCCUCGUGUCUCUUUUCUGAAGCCUCCAUAAACUUAACUAACAUGGUCUCUAGAUCUGGUUUUUUCUCAUCUAGUGGCUGCUCCUUUUGGUAGAAGCCUCGGCUUGUUUGCCUAUACUUCUCUUCUUUUUGCUUCUAAUAUUCUUCAUAUGGCAGCCACUCUUUCUUCGGUUUCCUCUAGUCUUCAUCGUACUUGUCCCCACUUGAAUAGUAUACUUGAGCCUUUUUAUUCCCAAAUUCAUCCAAAUUGCAGUCCUUGGUCAAGUGUGGACCAUUACACCAUUCGUAACCAACUCUUAUAGCAUGAAUUGAUUGGUCCAUUUGUGUUAACCUCCGGUCCAUAUUAUUUAGCAUAGCCAUCAUAGCUGCUAUUUCUUCAGUUUGUGCACCUCCACUGCCUUUGAUUCCAUUUUUCCUAUGGUUAUGGUACUCACGAGAGUGCUUCGCGAAUUCUUCAAUCAGCUCCUGGACCUCCUUUGGACUUUUCUUUGUCAAAGGUCCUUGAGAAUCAAGGAGCUGUCUUGUCUUAACAUUGACCCCAUCAUAGAAUAUUGACAUCUCUUGUUGAACAUUAAGAUCAUGCUGAGGGCAAUAUCUACUCAAGCCUUUGGUUAGAUAUUGACUCCCCCGCCUGUUGUUCAAAGUUGGCUAUUGCCUUCUUGAGUUUAGCUAUCUUGGAUGGUGGGCAAAAUUGGUUAAGAAACUACUCACGCAUUUGAGCCCAAGUGGUGAUCGUACCCGGUGGAAGUGAUUUUAACCACUCUUUAGCAGCUCCCUUAAAAGUAAUGGGAAGCAUCCUGAGCAAGACGGUGUUUCUAUUGACAUUUGGGAUAUUGAAGUAAUACGCAAUGUCAUUGACUUCAUCGAGAUGCUUAAAAGCAUCCUCAUGAUCCUUCCCAUAAAAUGGGAUAUCCUUCACUACAGUUAAGAUGUGUUCCUUCAGCACGAAUGUGGCAGUGGCAGGUAUUGCGGGUUGGACUAAAACGGGACCCACAUCCUCUCGGAUCCGCUUCUUGUAAGCUCCCAUGGACAUCUCCUCAAUGUUUACCAUUUCGUCCUCUUGCUUGUCUUCGGGCUCACUCGCAAAUAUUUCAAACUCUGGGUCAGACUCGUAUUCAGAUUCGUGUGGAUUAGAAACUGGACCAAGUUCUUCAACUUUGCCUUUCUCCUCUGAGGUUGAACUUGACUCUCCUGUCUUCUUUCCUGACUUCCUUGAAAAAGCUGAUUUUAGUUCUUGCAAUGGCGUCUGCUUUGGCGUUUGAUUUUCCUUCGCGUUCUUCUUCUUAUUUUUGUGAAGGGCAGACUCCAAAUCUUCAAGUGGCGGCACCAAAGGUGUAUUAGAGCAUCUGGUGAUGAACUCCUGCAAACUAAACAAAAUAACAACGUAAAAACGAACUAAAAUAGAAAAAUAAACUAAAAACUAAAGAAACCUAAAAAUCACAGUUCUCACAUCGUGAGGCUAUAAACACACGUCGUGAGUUCUGUAAUCAAAAAAAAAUCGAACCCUCCUAAAGACAAAAUGAAUAGAAACUGAUAACUACUAAAUUCACAUCGUGAGAGGUGCCCUCACGUCGUGAAAACUAAACAAACAAAAUAAAAACUAAUGCUAAAAAAAACUUUGUUGGAAAAUUAACUUUUUGCAUGAUUUAUCCGACAAAAGGGAUCGAUUAACCUAAAGCAAAUAAAUAAAUAAUAAACUAAGCCGUUCCCCAGCAACGGUGCCAAAAACUUGAUGUGCACGAUAGUACCCAUUAAUUUUAUAAUCUAUAACCUAACUAACUAACUAACUAAAAUGCACCUAGGAAGUGUACCUAGUCGAAUUAUAUAAUAGUUUGGUAAGUUGGGUGUCGAUCACAGGGAACGGUGUUAUUAAUUAAUCUAUCCAAUAAACUAGUGCUCACUAUAUUAUUAGGUAUUCAAGUUCAUUCAGAUCUGUGUUCACUUACUACACAGAACAAGAAUUCAAAGCAAUCAAAUAAUUAAUUCAAGCAUGCUAGGUAAAAUCAAUCAACACAAGCAUAUCACCAACAAGUAAAGUUAAGUCUAAUGCAUUAAAACCAUGAGUUCCAACUUCAU
rnacentral:lncRNA from 1 species